CUUUGAAGGUGGCAUGUGCGACCUCUGGUGGGUCAUCGUCACAGAGCUCUGCAAAGCAAAAGAAGCCUAUUAGGAACUCAAGAGGCCCCGGGAGUUCUGUAUGCAGCUGAAGGGUAACACCCCUUGGGAGCUUCUGCCUUGUCUGGCUGAUGCCUUGGCAAUCGCAAGUGACAGUGACGGAGAGCCACCUCCUCUGGAAUGCAUCAUGAAACAGGUCUGGGAGAACGGAGGGUGCAGAAAGGGAGAAGCCAGGCAUUUGUAGUCCUCCUGCCAUAGAUGACCAGAACGACCUCACCCAGGACAAACGACGACAGAUUUAGGAAUUCAAGCCAGCUUUUCUGACUCCCAGCCACCUGCUCUCUCCUUUCGAGUGUUUGACUCCACUCUCAGUCACUCGUCACUCUUCCCAGAAGGACAAAUGUGCAGCUUCUAUGUCUUGGAUUUCAAAUAAAAGACGAGGAACUUGGUGAAAUGAUGUGG
rnacentral:antisense_RNA from 1 species